UACGUAGGGGGCUAGCGUUGUCCGGAAUCAUUGGGCGUAAAGAGCGUGUAGGCGGCCCGGUAAGUCCGCUGUAAAAGUCAAAGGCUCAACCUUUGAAUGUCAGUGGAUACUGCCGGGCUAGAGUCCGGAAGAGGCGAGUGGAACUCCUGGUGUAGCGGUGUAAUGCGCAGAUAUCAGGAAGAACACCAACGGCGAAGGCAGCUCGCUGGGACGGUACUGACGCUGAGACGCGAAAGCCAGGGGAGCAAACGGG
rnacentral:rRNA from 1 species